rnacentral:rRNA from 1 species
GUGAGGAAUAUUGCGCAAUGGAGGCAACUCUGACGCAGCCAUGCCGCGUGCAGGAAGAAGGCGCUACGCGUUGUAAACUGCUUUUAACCGGGAAGAAACCCCAGGACGUGUCCUGGGUUGACGGUACCGGAGGAAUAAGCACCGGCUAACUUCGUGCCAGCAGCCGCGGUAAUACGAAGGGUGCAAGCGUUAUCCGGAUUCAUUGGGUUUAAAGGGUGCGUAGGCGGAGCGUUAAGUCAGUGGUGAAAUCCUGCAGCUUAACUGUAGACUUGCCAUUGAUACUGGCGCUCUUGAGUGCGCUUGAAGUGGGCGGAAUGUGCCGUGUAGCGGUGAAAUGCUUAGAUAUGACACAGAACACCAAUUGCGAAGGCAGCUCACUAAGGCGAUACUGACGCUGAGGCACGAAAGCGUGGGGAUCGAACAGGAUUAGAAACCCUGGUAGUCC